rnacentral:rRNA from 1 species
AUCUACGGCCAUGCCACCCUGAACAAGCCCGAUCUCGUCUGAUCUCAGAAGCUAAGCAGGGUCGGGCCUGGUUAGUACUUGGAUGGGAGACCACCUAGGAAGACCAGGUGCUGUAGGCG